CCUACGGGAGGCAGCAGUCGAGAAUCAUUCACAAUGGGGGAAACCCUGAUGGUGCGACGCCGCGUGGGGGAAUGAAGGUCUUCGGUUUGUAAACCCCUGUCAUGUGGGAGCAAAUUAAAAAGAUCGUACCACAAGAGGCAGAGCCGGCUAACUCUGUGCCAGCAGCCGCGGUAAUACAGAGGUAGCAAGCGUUGUUCGGAAUCACUGGGCGGAAGGCGUGGGUAGGCUGGUUGGUAAGUCGUGUGUGAAAGGCGCGGGCUCAACCCGCGGACGGCACAUGAUACUGCGAGACUAGAGUAAUGGAGGGGGCAUCGGAAUUCUCGGUGUAGCAGUGAAAUGCGUAGAUAUCGAGAGGAACACUAGUGGCGAAGGCGGGUUCCUGGACAGUAACUGACGCUGAGGCACGAAGGCCAGGGGAGCGAAAGGGAUUAGAUACCCUUGUAGUC
rnacentral:rRNA from 1 species